rnacentral:rRNA from 1 species
CGGAACGGGUGAGUAAUACAUCGGAACGUGCCCAGACGUGGGGGAUAACGAGGCGAAAGCUUUGCUAAUACCGCAUACGAUCUAAGGAUGAAAGCAGGGGACCGCAAGGCCUUGCGCGUUUGGAGCGGCCGAUGGCAGAUUAGGUAGUUGGUGGGAUAAAAGCUUACCAAGCCGACGAUCUGUAGCUGGUCUGAGAGGACGACCAGCCACACUGGGACUGAGACACGGCCCAG